GCGAGGAUCAGGAAACAAUUGCUUAAUUAAACGUUAAUUAAGGAUAUAAAGAGUAAUAGAAUAAGGAUAGCUCAGUAGGAAAAUUCGGUGAGGAAAAGAGGCUGAAAUAAGGAUAGCUCAGUGAGGAAAUUCAGUGGAGAAAAGAGGCUGAAUAAUUCAGCCAGAAGAAUUUUGUGUCUUUCUACCUUGGAGCUUCCCAGGUGACUCAGUGGUAAAGGACCCAUCUGCCAGUGCAGGAGACACCAGUUCAAGCCCUGGGUUGGGAAGAUCCCCUGAAGAAAGAAAUGGCAACCCAGUCCAGUAUUCUUGCCUGGAAAAUCCCAUGGACAGAGGAGCCUGGCAGACUACAGGCCACGCAGUCACAAAAGAGUUGGACAGGACUUAAUAAUUAACAUACACAAGAGACAACUCUACACAUGGGCAUCACCAGAUGGUCAAUACCCAAAUCAGAUUGAUUCUAUUCUUUGCAGCUGAAGAUGGAGAAGCUCUAUACAGUCAGCAAAAACAAUACCAGGAGCUGAUUGUGGCUCAGAUCAUGAACUUCUUACUGCAAAAUUCAGACUGAAACUCCAGAAAGUAGGAAAAACCACUAGACCAUUCAGGUAUGAUCUAAAUCAAAUCCCUUAUGAUCAUACAGUGGAAAUGACAAAUAGAUUCAAGGGAUUAGAUCUGAUAGACAGAGUGCCUGAAGAACUAUGGAUGGAAGUUCGUGACAUUGUACAGGAGGCAGGGAUCAAAACCAUCCCCAAGAAGAAGAAAUCCAAAAAGGCAAAAUGGUUGUCUGAGGAGGACUUACAAAUACCUGAGAAAAGAAAUGAAAGGCAAAGAAGAAAAGAAAAGAUAUACCCACCUGAAUGCAGAGUUCCAAAAAAUAGCAAGGAGAGAUAAGAAAGCCUUUGUAAGUGACCAAUGC
ensembl:lncRNA